AGAGAAUUUAUGUGACUCUAGCCAAUUAGUAGAAGUCCAAGAACUAAAGUCAAGCCAGCCAGCCAAACAACCGCAAGAAACCAAUUAAAACAACAGCAAUAAUAAACAACAACAACAACCACAACAAUUUGCAUGUCUUCGUUCAUUUGCGCUGAAUAUGAUAUAAAAAACUACAUGAGCAACGCGAUAAAUGUCAAACUGAGGUGGGCCGAUUAUCAUGGCAAGCAAUGUACAACAACAGCGAC
rnacentral:sRNA from 1 species